GGAAACGUCCGAGGUGGACAACUUCAAUUGUAGUAUCACAACACAUGCAUUAUAGUAAUCAAAGUACAAACAACCAUUGCAUUAAUAAGUAUAAGUUUUUACAUAUGUUCAAUCAUUGUAUAUUGACACCAAAAUUAGUUAUAACAAAAGAUAAAAGACAUGACUCAAAACAGCUUCAUUUUCUCAAAAGCUCGGGGAGUACCUGUCUACUGAUUUCCUGAGAAUACAAGUAAUUUGAAAAGAGAGUAUCAACAUAAAGUUGAGUGAGUGCAUAAGUAGGUUUAAUCACAUAAAACCGUUCUGUUUGUAAACCAGUGUUCUGUAUUUGUAUUCUUUUGUAUAACCUGAAAAAGUGAGUGUGUCUGGCUUCACCGGCUGUUAAUGUAAACUGAGAUGUAAUACUGUAAAACUGUAUUUUAGUAAAAUAGCAUCAUACGGUUCGGCCAGCGUGAGCAAAAGGACCGAACCGGACCCGGGAACCGGCUUCGGCCAAAAUCAAGAACCGAAUCGGCCCGGCGGUUCUACCAGUUCCCGGUUCCUACCGGUUCUUGUCGUGUAUUCAAAUGUUGGAACCAGUCCUCGAAAAAUAGCAUCAUAUGGUUCCGGUUUUUUGCCGGUUCUACCGGUUCCGGUUCCUACCAGUUCCAAAAGUCCACAAAAAUAACGUCUCAGUCCCGGCCCGACCGGUUCCAUCGGGUUCCGGUUCCGGUGUCGGCCGGUUCCCCGAUCCAUAUGUUCAUCCCUACUGUCACUCGUAGGCGUGUAUGACUGGCUGUAGCUAGCAGUCAGUGCGGGGUUGUCAAUCCCAAUAUAAAUCUAUACACACUUGUUUCAAUCCCCGACUGGAGAUUCUGGUUAUAAUGUCAGGACUUUAACUAUGUUGUUUAAAUGAAUUAAACAACAUUAAUCUAUUGACUCAUAAAAAGCAUAUAGACGUUACGUGUAUAAUAGAAGUGAAAACCCAAUCAUUCUGAAAUAAAUGAUUGAUAGUAUGCUCUUGAAUUAGUAUUCUUAACAUGUAUUUGAAAAAUGUAUACCCUUGAUUAGUUUUGAAUCAAACCAUUGUUCUUGUAAAAUGGUGUACUCUAGUAUACUUGGUUCGUGAAUUAAUGUUCUAUGAAUCAUAAAGUACACCUAUUAUAAUUUAUAUGUACUUUCUGAAUUGAUACUAACUGUUCAUGAAUGCAAUCCCUUGCUCGACAUGUUACAAAGGGUAUUGAAAUUGAAUGAAAUAACCUUUAUAUUUAUAUACAUAUACAAAUAUAUAACUAAAAUUUAAACGACAGUCGGACAAAUAACUGAUACUCUAAGCCCACAUCCAAACAAGGAAAAUGAAAUAAAGUGAGUUAUCAGUCCUAAGCCCUUNUAUAUAUAUAUAUAUGAUUUUUGGGGGAAAAAAAUAUAAGUUUAUAAAAUCAUUUAAAGAAUUUAACAUCUUGAAAUACUUUUGGUGACGUGAUGUCAUUUUAACACAAUUUAAAACCAUUUGAUUUGAUGACAAUUGAAAUCCAUUUUGGUAAGAUAUUUUGAAACCAUUUGAUUUGAUAUAGGACGUUUACUUCCACAAGUGUAAUCUCGUAGUAAAACAAGUCCUAUAUAGCAAUUAGAAACUGGACUAAUUUGUAAGUAUAACUUCAAAUAGGAGUGUUAGAAGCUAAAAUGGAGGCUGAAUGGUGUUCAGAUUUUAAUGCACUUUUGAAUGAUAACUUUUGAGUAGUUAUAGAUCCAAUGAUCUUUUAAAUUUUAAUCCACUUAGCAUUCUACAAAUAUCUUACACAAGUUAUCUUUUGGUUAUUGUUUUUACUAAAAACUUCAUCAACAUUUUUGACAGGUUAAGAAUCUCAGGAAAGAUGUUAAUAUUGUUGGUGUAGUAUGUUGAGAUCAGCCUCACCGUUAUAUUGUUUCUCCUUUUAACAUUAUCUUUGAAAUUGGAACAUUAAGCCUAUUUAACCUUGAAUUUUGUUGAAAGACGUGUGAAACUAGGUGGUGGUCUAUUGGUGAAUACUGCUGAAACGUUGAAGAAUUAACUCUGAUGUAUCAUAACCCUGGUGAAGGUAUAGACAAACCCAUCUUUAUGUCGUUUUUGUUUUUUUUGAUUUUGAUGAUUACUUCUUUGUUUCACAAUUAAACAAAGAUAUGAUUUAUGUUGUUGCAGGUUCUAUUCUAAUAUAUUUAGGGUUUAAGACAUGUGAUUCCUUAUAUGUUGACCCAAUAUAUGAUGAUUUUCACAAUUUAACAAAUUGUCUUUGUUUCACAAUUUGUAGGAUAAUUACUAUCUUUUCAAGAUAUCAUGUCACUGUCUAAGAUGUUUUUCUAAACACUUAUUUGUACAACAAGAUAUGGAGCAACCUCUUGAAAGUUAAAAGUGACAAUUAUCUAUUUGUUGUUCAGAAUCAAGUUCACUGAAGCAUGUAAACAGAAGAAGUCGAAGUGUAAGUGCUUUUGAAUAUUUUGACAGAAUUUGUGAUCUUGAAAAUUAAAAGUGACAAUUACCGAUUUUCCAAUGACCAAGUAAAAUUAACUAAUUUUUGUUUUUCAUUUUCUUGCUUCUAAUACUUUCUUUAGGAAAUGGCUAGGAGGAAUGAGGAGCACUCUGUUUAAAAUGUGUUGUGUUUUCCCCGAUUAACUAUUUUUUUUCUAGAAAAGUCCAUAAUUAAGUAAGGUGCUUCAAACAAAAAUCUAUUAUGGGUAUUGAAGUUUGUUUUGCCUAAAGAAAAGAUAAUGUACUAUUAAAAAGUUCUAUUUUAGUGAAUUUGACCCUUUGCAAAAAGUUACAAUAAUAAUAAAUAAAUCACCUAAAGUAUAUUACUAAUUCUUACAAUAUUUUUCAUCUAUUGGUGUUGUUUUAAGGUUAUUAUUUUACCCAUACACAACUUAAAAAUUGCUAACUGCUUUAAUUUUUUGGUGCAGAGGUUAUAACUUUAGGCAAAGUUUUGCCCUUCAUGUUUUUUUACCCACAAAAGGGUUGAAAAUGCUUCUUGAUUUGAGGCAAUGUAUUUUUGUGUAGUUUCUUUUAACAUUUCACUUUUAUUUUUUUCUAUUAUAAUAUUGUAUCUUUAAAUUUUUACCAUGUAUGACGAUUAUAUUUUUAUCGAUCCUCACUACCAAUUUCGCUAAUGUAUCUUCUUUUUUACCAUAAAAUUAUUAGUAAAAAUGUCUAAGUAUGUUGCUAUUUUGGGUAAGUCGUUACACGUAAGUGAACUUAAACUUCAAAAAACAUAUUAUAUAAAAACAGUUAUUGUUCAAUCUCCCGCCGCAACGCGUGGCUUAAAAACCUCGUUUCUUACAUCACACUUUAUUACUAUUGAUAAAGCUGAUUUUUUUAAUUAAAAUUAACAUAACUAAUCCUAAAUAUGGCGACGUCAACUUCCGGUUAAUUGUGUAUUACAAGUUUACAACAUCCUAUUUCAAUUACCUCCACUACAACAUUAAACUUUUUCUUACUAAAUGCCUUCUACUUUAAAAAAUCUAACCACAUCAAUGUGCUACUGUAUUUGUCUUAUUAGAACAUUAUUCUUUCAAAAAUUGACCCCUAUUAUAGAAAUGAAAAAUGCUUUGCAUAUAAAGGACAUUGUUAACUUGGUAGAUUUUAAAAUUACAAUGUUCCUAACAACAAGAAGCAAACCUAGGAUGCUAUAAUAAAUAAAUCAACAAAAGUAUGUUGCCAUUUCACAAACAAAUAUAUACUUCGGAUCAAAAUACAAUCAACUUUCUUGAGAAAUCUGACUGUCAUGCUUUACAUAAUUAUGCAUCAAACCAUGAUAACGGAAGUUUACUUUCUAAAAAAGCAUGCUAUUGAAAAAGUUAGAAAGAAAAACAUGCUCUAUAUAAUUAUUUGCUAUGUGUUAGGAACAAUAUCUUUGCAUGAUAAAUCUAUCAUGAACAAAAUCCUUCAACUGUUGUAAUUAGAAAAGUUAAAGAGUUUAUGACCCUACAUGCAGCGCAGCUUCUUUCGCUAGUACAGAAGAGAUUUGAUAAUGCGGUUAUUAUUAUUUGUUGAUGUGGUUUUCUAACCAUGCCAACACAUAUAACAUCAAACAAAAACGAUAUUUGUUGAUGCGGUUUGUUAUACCGCAUUAGCAAACGUGAAAAAUCGUCUUUAUAAAAUAUCUAAGUAAAAAAGCACAAAUCGCACCAAAAACUUAGUAACCGCCCUAUUAAGUAAUUGCACCAAAAAACACAAAACUGCUAUAUUAAAUAACAGCACCAAAAAAUAUAAAACCGCCCUAUUAAAUAAUAGCAAUAAAAAAUACAAAACCAGCCUAAUAAAAUACAACACCAAAAAAAUAACAAAUCUACACUACAAAAAAUAAUAUAUCAUUAAACAAAUCAUCAUUAUAACAUAUCACUAUAAGAAAUCAUCAAUAAACAAAAACAUACUACUAAACAAAACAUCAUUAUACAAAAAACCAACAAUUUCUAAUUAUAUUUUAGUUAUAGUAAUCAUUAUAAUUCUUACAAAGUUCUUUUCCGACCACCGUUCACCAUGUCAAUUAAACAAUGUACUAUUUCUAAGACCUUAUCUUCAAGUUUAAUAGUCGAAGCAAAACUUUUCUUUUUAUAUAUCAUGUUGAAUGUUUUCAACAAACUCGUUCAUAUGUUUUAUUACUAUAAAUCCACAUUUCCAUCCACCUUUUUGUUUGUAGUAAUGCAUUUAAUUCACAAUCUAUUUCAAACCACUUGAAAUAUAUUGAUAAAACUAAUAGAAAACAUAUGUUUACCGUUUCCCACUUAUUAAAUCGUCCCGGGAAUAUUUUAUCAAUUAUAGAAGCAAAUAGGUAAUCGUCCUUUUUUUUCCUCGUUCUUUUCAUAAAUUUAAGAAUCAUUAAUAACCGCAUUUGUUUUCUGAACAUUGGAUAAAAAACACCCAAUAUCUACUGCAAAAAUAAGAAUUAUUUAACAAAUAAACAUAUAUGUGUAGUGUGUAUAUGUAUAAGUGUAGUGUAUAAUGUAUGUGAACAUAUCAUGGAAAGAAAAAAAAAAUUACCUUUAUAAAUAUAUAUGAAGCAAGAAAAUUUUGUUUACCUUUAUGAUACGAAAAUAUUUGUUAGAUAUGUUCAACAACAGGCGACAAAUUGUUUUUAGUAUCUAAGUUUAUAAUGCAAAGCGGAUAAAAAAAACCACAAUCGGAAUUGGGUAUAUAUCAAGCCAAUCAUAAAAAUAGUUGUAAAACCUUUCAAAUGCAUAAGGCUAUAAUUAAGUCAAUCUCUUAAAAAUAGUUGUAAAACCUUGAUAGGUAUCUUGAACCUUGCGACGAUAAAUCCAUUUAGGUGAAAAAAUACUAAUGGCUUUUGUAUUCCCAAAAAACGUUGAUACUUUGCUCAAGCGUAUACACAACUCAUGAUCUUCAAGUGUAUAGAAUUCAGGUUCGGGUUCGGUUUCAGACUCGUGUUCGGGUUCAAAUUCGGCUCCGACUCGGGGAGCAUUUAAAUCAACUAGUGGUGGAUUCAUAAAUAAUAUUUGAAAACUAAACACAAAACAUUAGUACAUAGAUAUGAUUAUAUAUAAACAUAAAACAUCUAAAUUAUAUACAAACAUAAAACAUCUAAAAACAAACAUAAUAAAUCUAAAAACAACAAGCAUAAAACAAGUUUUUAAGGCUAAUCUCAUCAAGUAAACCACUUGAAUAUGUUCAUUAAUUUCAUGAUGAUAAAGAAUGUGAUUUUCCUCAAACUAAAAUAACAAACACAUUGUUAUAUAAUAUUAAAAAAAAUCAAACUAAAUUAACAAAAAAUAAGAAUGAUUUGGUCGACUACCUGUGGACGAUAAACUGAAGUCGUCGUGAUGCCAUCAGCAUGUAUCUGUGGCGAACCACGACUCGACCCCAUUCUCAUGCCACUAUUUGACUUGCUAGGUGUCUUGUUCACAAGCUAAAAUAUUCAAAUAAAAGUAUACUAAAAUAUAUAGUUAUACUUAAAUAUAAAUAUACCUUUAUAGCAUAUCACGGUCGGAUGUUUAACAUAUUCAACUUAUUCCGUUCAUGUGACGGCAUGCACAAGCAAGUUCUCAUAUAUUUCAAUGAUUUCAUCAACCUUAACUUCCACAUAACCUUUAUUUAUAGGUUUUGAAUGUAUUAUCAUUUCAGAUGUUGACCAUGCAACAUAAGCUAUUUUCAAUUGGAUAUCAGCCACAUUCACUAGCAAAUCACAUUCUAUCCUAACCUAAAAAUCAUACAACAUUUUUUUAAAAUAUAACAUAAAAACAUGACUUAUAAUAUAAUUAAAUAUCUUUUUUAUAUGGAAACUAUAAAUAUAUUACUUCAAUAAGUGGAUAUUUUGUCAACCGUCUACAAGACGCACCACUAGAUUAAUGGAAUGUUAUGAUAUUGUCAACAUGUGGUCACAUGUUUUGACUAUUUUCCACAUUCUUAAACAAUCCACCGUAAACUUGAGUAGGGCCAAUGAUAUUGGAUAUUCUCUGUGAUCGGCCCCAUGAUCGUAUCCUAAAAGUCUAACUAAUGGGUCUUCCUUAUUUUGAAAAUAACUCUCAUCGACUAUCAUUCUUUUCUCUUUUUGUUCCUAUGAAAAAAAAUACUUGGCAAGAUAUAAUUAAUAAAAAACAAAAUCUUCAUCAAGUGAAAAAACAUAAUUGUUUACCAUAAAAUGAAAAUCUUCAAUCGACCUUUGUAGAAAAUCAUACAUAUUGGUUUCUUUGUUUUUUACUGCGAAAGUCAUUAAAUACAUCCUAGACCGUUCAUUUUGUAUACGAUCCAGAAACUCGUAUUUUGAUACAAGUUGAGGCCAUAUAGUAUGUCUUUUUUUUCAAGACCCCGUCAUCCACUUCGUGCUAAGCGCACAAUGAAUAACCUUUUGGCAUUGCUUUCUUUAGCUUUUGCACUUUUUGCCUUCAUACAUACCAACAAAAUAAUAAUAAUAACAACAAUAACAAUAAAAAAAAAUUAAAAUAUACCAAAAACUCAAGGGUAGUUUUUUGUGCAACGAACUUAUUCUAUACAUCCGGUUUUAUAAAAUCAUAUUUAAGACACGCAUUCAAUCAUUGGAUCAUAAAAUUUAUAACAAAGUAUGAUUUAAAAUUUGAUGCAAGCUUCACAGCUUUCUUCUUCAAAAAAAUUUCCUGAUCAUCAGACUCAAUGUUCCACUAUUUUACAAUUCCAAAACAAGAGGUUAAACAUAAUAAUUAAUUAACAAGUUAUUCAUAUUUGUAAUAAAUUAAAAUAUAAAUGUCUUGGUUCCAACCAUAAAUUUUUAAAAUAUGUUUCUUCAAGUUUACGUGUCACUAUAUCUAUAGAAACCUAUGUCGAGCCAUCAUGUCAUACCAAGAAUUCAACCUAAUUGGCAUGUCACCGUUUGGGAUAUUAUUUUCAUCAAACUUCACUUGAUACUUUCGGAGGAAUCUUUGAAUUAAAUGUACCAAUACUGCUUUCACAACAAUAAAUCAAUAUUGUAAAUAUUCUAAACUAUACAGCAUGAGACAGUUACGUUCAUAUAUAUUCUAAAAUAUUCGAAACACCUUUUCACAAUAAAACUUUUUGACAACAAAUCAAUAUAAUAUACAUCUUAGUUGAGACAACAACAAAUCAAUGUAUAUAUACCUUAUACGACAGAGAAACUCAAAAAUGACAUUGUGACACAGAGACUUGUAGAGCGAAUUAGACUAUGUGGACGACGGAGUUAGUGAAUGUUGUCCGAUAAGUGUGAGAUUUAGCAUCGAUUUAGCCGUCCGGGACCACUAAAACGGGAAUUUCCGUCGGCCUCAACUAUGAAGGUAUUAUAGAAGAAGGGUUUACGAAUUCGGAUAUGGAGGUUUCAAGACAACAGCUCGCGCACAAUGAAAAGAUUUGCAAGGCAAAUGACGAAAAUCAUAAGAGGGAAACCCUUGUGAAGCGAUUUAGGUAUUUUUUGGAGCGAUUAAUGUGGGGGGUAUCCGAAUUCGUAAACCCUUCUUCUGUAACAUUUUUGAUAUCCGCUCACAUUAAUCCCCCCAAAAAAUACCUAAACCUCCAUAUGAUUUUCGUCAUUUGCUUUUCAAAUAUUUUCAUUGCGCGCAAACUCUCUUCUCCAAACCUCCAUAUCUGAAUUCGUAAACCUUUUUUCUGUAAUACUUUCAUUUUUGAGUCUCUGUCGUAUAAGGUAUAUAUAUCCAUUGAUUUGUUGUUGUCUCGACUAAGGUGUAUAUACAUUGAUUUGUUGUUAAAAAGUUUUAUUGUGAAAAGGUGUUUCGAAUCUUUUAGAAUUGAUAUGAACAUGAUUGUCUCAUGUCAAAUAGUUUAUAAUCUUUACAAUAUUGAUUUGUUGUGAAAAAGUGCUAUUACUUUACAUUAUAGUUUGGAAUCUUUAGAAUAUAUAAACGUGACCGACCAUAUUUAAUAAAUGUAAUAUUUAGCCCCACAUAUAUAAGGUCUACCAAUUUAUUGGAUCGAUCCUUUUCAUUGCAUUAUGUUGGAUUUUGGUUUUGUAUUCAUGUAAUAUACUAUUGUAUUGGAUUAUGGUUGUUGUCCUUAUGUAAUGUCUGUCUUCUGUUAUCUAUGGAUAAACUUAUUUUUAAUUUUUUCAAUAUUGUUAGGCUUAUAAAAAUGGAAAAUGUACAAACAAGAAAAAGAGGUGAACACAGUAUUGGUGCAUUUAAGUCAAAGAUUCCUCCAGAAAAGUAUCAAGUGAAGUUCCAUAAAAAUAAUAUCCCAAACGGUGGCAUGUCAAUCAGGUUUAAUUCUUGGUAUGGCAUGAUUGUUCGACACAGGUUUCUACAGAUAUACAGACGCAUAAACUUGAAGAAAACAUAUUUUAAAGAUUUAUGGUUGGAAACCAAGGUAUUUAUAUUUUAAUUUAUUACAAAUAUAAAUAACUUGUUAAUUAAUUAUUAUGUUUAACCUCUUUUGUUUUGAAAUUAUAAAAUAGUGGAACAUUAAGUCUGAUGAUGAUCAGGAAAAUUAUAUGAAGAAGAAAGCUAUGAAGCUUGCAUCAAAUUUUAAAUCAUACCUUGUUAUAAAUUUUAUGAGCCAAGGAUUAAAUGCUUGUCUUAAAUAUGGUUUUAUAAAACCUAACAGGAUUGAUUCGUUGCACAAAAAACUACCCCCAGAGUUUUUUGUAUGUUUUAAUUGUUUAUUUAUUAUUAUUACUAUUAUUACUAUACAAAACGAAGUGGAUGGCAGGGUCUUGAAAAAAAAGACAUUAUAUGGCCUCAACUUGUAUCAAAAUACGAGUUUCUGGAUCGUAUACAAAAUGAACGGUCUAGGCUGUAGUUAACGGCUUUCGCAAUAAAAACAAAGAAACCAAUAUGUAUGAUCUUCUACAAUGGUCAAUUGAAGAUUUUCAUUUUUUGGUAAACAAUUAUGUUUUUCACUUGAUGAAGAUUUUAAAUUUUACUAGAUAUCUUUUGCCAAGUAUUUUUUUUUCAUAGGAACAAAAAGAGAAAAGAACGAUGGCCGAUGGGAGUUAUUUUCAAAAUAAAAAAUACCCAUUAGUUAGACUUAUGGGACACGAUCACGGGGGCGAUCACAAAGAAUAUUCAAUAUCAUUGGAACUACUCAAGUUUACGGUGGAUUGUUUAAGAAUGUGGAAAAUAGUCAAAGCACGAAACCACAGGUUAACAUGAUCCCAACAGUCCAUGAAUCUAGUGGUGUGUCUGGUGGACGGUUGACAGAAUAUCUACCUAUUGAUGUAAUAUAUUUAUAAUUUCCAAAUAAAAAAGAUAUUUAUAUAUAUUAUAAGUUACGUUUUUAUAUUAUAUUUAUAAAAAAUGUUGUAUCAUUUUCAGGUUAGGAUAAAAUGUGAUUUGCUAGUGAAUGUGGUUGAUACUCAAUUGAAAGUAGCUUAUGAUAUUGCAUGGCCAACAUCUGAAACGGUAAUAAAGGUUGUGUGAAAGUUCAAGUUGAUGAAAUCAACGAAAUAUAUGAGAACCUUCCUGUGCAUGUUGUGUGAAUGUUGUCACACGAACAGAAGAAGUUGAAUAUGUUAAACAUCUUUUGCAUACCCUCAUUCAGUGGUCGAGAUAUGCAAUAAAGAUAUAUUUAAAUUUAAAUAUAACUAUAUAUUUUAGUAUAUUUUUAUUUAAAUAUUACAAAGUAUUGUAGCUUGUGAACAAGACAUGUAGCAAGUCAAAUAAUGGCACGGGAAUGGGGUCGAAUCGCAGUUCGCUAUAGAUAAAUGUUGAUGACAUCACGACGACUUCAGUUUAUCAUCCACAGGUAGUCGACCAAAUCAUUCUUAUUUUUUGUUAAUUUAGUUUGAUUUUUUUAAUAUUAUAACAUUUUGUUUGCUAUUUUAGUUUGAGGAAAACCACAUUCUUUAUCAUCAUGAAAUUAAUGAACAUAUUCAAGGUGGUUUACUUGAUAUGGUUAGUCUUAAAACCUUGUUUUAUGCUUGUUGUUUUUAGAUUUAUUAUGUUUGUUUUAGAUGUUUUAUGUUUGUAUAUAAUCAUAUCUAUGUACUAAUGUUAUGUGUUUUUAGAUAUUGUCUAUGAAUCCACCACAAGUUGAUUUAAAUGCACCCGAGCCGGAGUCGAACCCAAACCCGACCCUGAACUCAAAUCUGAAUCCAAAACCAAACCCGAACUUGAAUUUUAUACAUUUGAAGAUCUUGAGUUGUGUAUGGCUCCUUAAGCAAAGUACAGCAAUAAUGACCUAAGUUUCUAUCUGUUGAUUUUUAAGUAUCAAAGUUUUUUAGGAAUGCAAAUGUCAUUAGUAUUUUUUCACCCAAAGAGAGGCAUCGCCUCAGGGUUCAAUUUACCAUCUCAUAUAUCUCGGUGUUACAACUAUUUUUAAGAGAUUGGCUUGAUUAAGUUAUUAUGCAUUGGUUUGCGAUGUAAGUUAUUCUAUCUCUCUCUCUAUAUAUAUAUAUAUANCGGAUAUAAAAAACGCAUCAAAGAAGUACUUUCAUAUCAUAAAGGCAAACAAUAUUUUUUGCUCCAUAUUUACAGAGGUAAUUUUUUUUUCCAUAAUAUGUUCACAUUUAUAUACACACUACACAUAUAUGCUUACUUGUUAACCAUGUUAUCCUUACGUCUAUGAUGAUGAAAUAUGAACUUCUAAAUUAUUGGAAUGUCGCCCUCUUGACAAACAAAAAGAUUCAUUAUAAAAGUUACAAGACCCCAACAAAGAUAAAUACUUACCUUCCAUUGAUGUUUAUAACUUUAUAUGUGCUAUGGCUUUUUCAGCAUUGUUCACUACUUCCAUUAGGUUAACCAAACCAUGCACUCAGCCUGAUGUUGUUGCCUUUUUGUUCAAAUUCUUUUUUUAACCUAACAAAAACAGAAAUAAUGAAUACUGAAAUACGAGGUAAGAUUAUUGACUAAAACAUCCUGAUCUGAUAGAAUUAGUUUUCAUGUCCAUACAUUAACUUUACUUUUAUUGAAAAAAAAAAAAACAAAACUGGAGAAAUAAAGUAUUAUAAAGAAUAAAAAAAAAAAAGGUAUAAGAAUGAAAAGAUGAAAAAGAAAAACCCUCCAACAAACAGAUGAACACCAAGAAUCCCAACGAAAAGACCAACAAAAUUACAGUUUCCUUCUUAAAUCAGAGUUUACAAAAAUACCCGCCAACGAAUAAAUGAAGAAGAAGGCAGGGUAAUACUAGAAACCCUAACGAGUAGAAAGAGAACAAAAUAAGAUUAAAGACAUAGCAAUUAACCUUUGAUUAUUUCUUAUUCAAACAUCAAUUUUAAUUUGACAAGGAAAUUACAAUAUCUUAACCGCAAAAAAAAACAACCCUAGAGACUAGAGAGAUGAAUGAGAAUUACCUGCGCAGGUUGGGGGUGUUUAGGUCUCCGGCAGUGGAGUUACAUAGAUCGCUAUGGGUCAGGGGUGUUUGGGUUUGUUGAGAGCAGAAUGACUGAAGAACGCGCGGCCACAAACAAAUCCUGUCGAAUUCAAAGGGUUUCUUAGAUCACAGGCGAAGAAAGGAAGGUGGUGUUUUGGUCUCAGGGGAGCGGAGGAGUUACGAGUAGAGAGAUCGUCAGGGUUUGGGUCUUGUGAGAACGGGAGUUAGGGCAUGUUUGGGGUUUGGGAACGGGAGUGACA
rnacentral:lncRNA from 1 species